rnacentral:rRNA from 1 species
CUAACAAGGAUUCCCCUAGUAACUGCGAGUGAAGCGGGAAAAGCUCAAAUUUGAAAUCUGGCGGGCCCUUGACUGUCCGAGUUGUAAUCUAGAGAAGUGUUACCUGUGCUGGACCGUGUACAAGUCUCCUGGAAUGGAGCAUCAUAGAGGGUGAGAAUCCCGUCUUUGACAUGGACUACCUGUACGUUGUGGUGCGCUCUCAAAGAGUCGAGUUGUUUGGGAAUGCAGCUCAAAAUGGGUGGUAAAUGCCAUCUAAAGCUAAAUAUUGGCGAGAGACCGAUAGCGAACAAGUACCGUGAGAGAAAGAUGAAAAGAACUUUGGAAAGAGAGUUAAACAGUACGUGAAAUUGCUGAAAGGGAAACGCCU